rnacentral:tRNA from 1 species
UGGUAUAUAGUUAAAUUAUAACAUAUCAUUUACAAUGAUUAAUUAUUCGUUCGAGUCGAUUUAUACUAA